CGAAAGCCUGACGGAGCAAUACCGCGUGAGGGACGAAGGCCUUAGGGUUGUAAACCUCUUUUAUCAAGGAGGAAGUUCUGACGUGUACUUGAUGAAUAAGCAUCGGCUAACUCCGUGCCAGCAGCCGCGGUAAGACGGAGGAUGCAAGUGUUAUCCGGAAUCACUGGGCGUAAAGCGUCUGUAGGUUGUUUAAAAAGUCUGCUGUUAAAGAUUGAAGCUUAACUUCAAAAAUGCCGUAGAAACUUUUAAACUUGAGUAUGGUAGGGGUAGAGGGAAUUUCCAGUGGAGCGGUGAAAUGCGUAGAUAUUGGAAAGACCACCAAUGGCGAAGGCACUCUACUGGGCCAUUACUGACACUGAGAGACGAAAGCUAGGGGAGCA
rnacentral:rRNA from 1 species